UUCUUUUCGUGUCCGUUGGGCUGAAUCGAGGGAGGGCUUGAGAACCGUAGAAUCACAAGAAGUCUAGUGGGAAAGGGGGCUUUUGAAUUCUCCAGACCAACCACGCCCCCUCUUAAUUUACAUGCGAGGGAAACUGAGGUUCACAGAGGGGAAAAGGCCGCUUUCCCCUGGGUAGUCAGGAGGCUGAGGCUAGACUGCAGCCAAUGCUCUCGCUUGCCUAGCACUGGGAGCCUUUAGGGCUUCACCCUCACCCUCAGCUUACCGUAUUUUCUCUGGUAGGCGGGCAGCAGUGGGGAGAGGGGGCGUGGCUUUGCUCUCCAAAUCUGCGAUGGCAAAGCUGCCCCUUGGGGGCGGGGCAAGGACGCGUGUUCUGUUAGUUGCUAGUGCAGGGACCGCAUCUGGGGGAGAAUAGCGGGGGGAAAAGCUGUCCCCGCCAGAGCUGCCUGUGGAGCCGGGGCAAAGCCCGUGCCCUGCGCCCUGGUUUUCUUUUAAAGUGAAGUGUAGGAAGGACAAGUCCGUUUCCUUAGGUAUCCGAAUAGUGAGCCUUUCUCCCACUUGUCACCCUUUUAGAAAGAAUCUGGCUGGUGGCAAAAUCGUCUCUUAAAUUAACACUUGUGGAAUUGGAUGCUCAGAUUGGAAAAAAAAAUCUAGUGUAGACUGAAAACUUGGGAAAUAAAUGAAUUAUUUAUUUGGAAUACUUGCUAUACAAAAAGGUCCCUUCAAAGAAUUUCUCCUUUACCAAUUUUAAGUGAUUGUUUAAGCAAUAUUGUAAGGAUAAUCCACCACGAAAGACUGAGUUACUCUGAUCAAGACAGUUCUUAAGGACCCACGAUGAAAAAUGCUAUUUACCUUCGAAAUAACUGAUGAACUGAACACAGACUGAAAGCAGCUCAUGAAGACUAAGGCAUAGAGGAAGUUGCAGUCUGUCCUGAUGGAGGAAGUAACCACAUAGAUAACCACAGAUCCCUGAAAUAUCUAUUUACAGAGAGCCUGGAAGCUGGUGGCAGAAUAAUUUAACACUGUAAUUUGAAGAGCAAAAGGAACAAAGAUGAAGCAUCUCUGAAACCAUAAGUUACUAGGAAAAGCAAUUUGAUUUGAAAAAAUUCAAUUUUUACACUUCAGGACUAUAUCAGAUACGUCAACUUUUGUAGUCAUGAGAUCAGUAAGAAUUUAUUAAAAAAUAUUUUGGCUACACAACUUUGUUAGGCACUAUGGAGGGAAAAAAAAAGGUUUUUUGCCACUUAAUUUGUGAUCCGUAUGACUUCACACACUUGGAUCACCCAACCUUUUCCAUGAUGUCUGUGCCUCCAUUUUCUCCUGACCUCCAAACCAGUCUUUUUAACUUUAGUUUUGUAAAAUUAUGGGCUUAAUUACACCAAUAAAAUAAUACCAAGCAAAUAAACAUAAUAAAAUGCCAAAUAAAGUCUUAAACUCCAAAGUAUAUUUUCAUCAUACAAAUCUUUUAAUAAAAUAACUAUUUGCUCUCUG